rnacentral:rRNA from 1 species
AGUGAACGCUGGCGGCAUGCCUAACACAUGCAAGUCGAACGGCAACACAGUAAGAGCUUGCUCUUACGGGUGGCGAGGGACGGACGGGUGAGGAAUACAUCGGAUUCCUCUUUUUCGGGGGGGAUAACGUAGGGACACUUACGCUACCACCGCAUAUGUCGUACUGCUUGAAUCAGGGGAUCUUCGGACUUUGUGUGACUGUAUGAGCCGAGGUCGGAUUAGAUAGUUGGCGGGGUAAAGGCACACCAAGGCGACGAACCGUAGCUGCUCUGAGAGGAUGAUCAGCCACACUGGAACUGAGACACGGUCCAGACUCCUACGGGAGGCAGCAGUGGGGAAUCUUGGACAAUGGGGGCAAGCCGGAUGCAGCCACACCGCGUGGGUGAAGAAGGCCUUCGGAUUGUAAAGCCCUUUUGUUGGGAAAGAAAAACAGUAGGUUUAUACCCCGCUGUUCUGACGGUACCCAAAGAAUAAGCACCGGCUAACUUCGUG